UACGUAGGGUGCGAGCGUUGUCCGGAAUUAUUGGGCGUAAAGGGCUCGUAGGCGGUUUGUCGCGUCGGGAGUGAAAACCCAGGACUUAACUCUGGGCUUGCUUUCGAUACGGGCAGACUAGAGGUAUGCAGGGGAGAACGGAAUUCCUGGUGUAGCGGUGGAAUGCGCAGAUAUCAGGAGGAACACCAAUAGCGAAGGCAGCUCGCUGGGACGUUACUGACACUGAGGCGCGAAAGCGUGGGGAGCGAACAGG
rnacentral:rRNA from 1 species